rnacentral:rRNA from 1 species
UACAGAGGGUGCGAGCGUUAAUCGGAAUUACUGGGCGUAAAGCGUGCGUAGACGGCUAUCUAAGUCGGGUGUGAAAGCCCCGGGCUCAACCUGGGAAUUGCAUUCGAGACUGGAUAGCUAGGGUACGGUAGAGGGAAGUGGAACUUCCGGUGUAGCGGUGAAAUGCGUAGAUAUCGGAAGGAACAUCAGUGGCGAAAGCGACUUCCUGGACCAGUACCGACGUUCAGGCACGAAAGCGUGGGGAGCAAACAGG